rnacentral:misc_RNA from 1 species
UCAAACUUGGUCAUUUAGAGGAAGUAAAAGUCGUAACAAGGUUUCCGUAGGUGAACCUGCGGAAGGAUCAUUUUUGAUAUGAUUUAACAACACGGUUGGGUUGAGUGUGGUGGGGUUGUGUGGUUCUAGUUGGGUUUGGUCCUAGUUGGUCCAGACUCGGCCUGACCUUCAAACCACCCGCUCUGUCCACCUGCAAACACACCAACCCUAAAACACCGCUUGUCUGAUUCUGAUAACACACAAUCAAACAACUUUCAACAAUGGAUCUCUUGGCUCUUGCAUCGAUGAAGAACGCAGC